rnacentral:rRNA from 1 species
GUGCCAGCAGCCGCGGUAAUACAGAGGGUGCAAGCGUUAAUCGGAAUUACUGGGCGUAAAGGGUGCGUAGGUGGUUGAUUAAGUUGGAUGUGAAAGCUCCGGGCUUAACCUGGGAACUGCAUUCAAUACUGGUUAGCUAGAGUUGAGUAGAGGGAGGUGGAAUUUCCGGUGUAGCGGUGAAAUGCGUAGAUAUCGGAAGGAACACCAGUGGCGAAGGCGGCCUCCUGGACUCAAACUGACACUGAGGCACGAAAGCGUGGGUAGCAAACAGGAUUAGAAACCCGAGUAGUCC